UACAGAGGUGGCAAGCGUUGUUCGGAAUUACUGGGCGUAAAGCGUGCGCAGGCGGUUGUGUAAGACAGGUGUGAAAUCCCCGGGCUUAACCUGGGAAUGGCAUUUGUGACUGCACGGCUAGAGUGUGUCAGAGGGGGGUAGAAUUCCACGUGUAGCAGUGAAAUGCGUAGAGAUGUGGAGGAAUACCGAUGGCGAAGGCAGCCCCCUGGGAUAACACUGACGCUCAUGCACGAAAGCGUGGGGAGCAAACAGG
rnacentral:rRNA from 1 species